rnacentral:rRNA from 1 species
AAUUUUUAUAUUAUUAAUUAUUUUAUUUUAAUAAAUUGAUUUAAAAAAAAUAUUUAUAUUUUUUUUAUUUUUAGUAUUAUUUAAAGAAAAAAUUUUUUUAUUUAUAAUAUAUUUUGUAUAUUGGUAGAAAUUUGAAAAAAUUUGAAAAAAAAAUUUUUAAAAAAGUAUAUUUUAUUUAUAGUACCUUGUGUAUCAGGGUUAAUUAAAAAAAUUAUAUUUAUAUGAUAUUUUUCUCGAAUUUAAAAGAUCUAUUUAAUAAAAUUAUUUUUAAUGUUUAAUAAUUAUUUUUAAUUUUUAAAUAGAAAUGAGAUGUUUUUCGUUUUUAAAGUUAUCUAGUUUUUUAAUAAAUAAAUUUAAUUUAGAUAUUUUAAUAAUUAAUUAUUUUAUUUAAAUAAAAUAAUUAAUUAAAAUAUUAAAGUUUUAAGGGAUUAGCUUUAAUUCUUAAUUUUAUAAUUAAUUAAAAAUAAUUUAUAAAUUAUUUUUAGGCUUAGUAAUGGCUUUAAUUUAAAAAUUGUAAUAAUUUUAUAAUAUACAUAUUAUAUAUAAAUUUAAUAUUAAUUUAAUUUUAUAUUAAAAUAAAUUAAUAAAUAAAAAUUUAAUUUAAAUUAUGAUUAAAUUAGUAAAUAUUUAAAAUUAAUUAUUUAAUAAAAUGAAAGUUAAUUAAUAGGAAUUUAGCAAAAAUUUAUCUCGCCUGUUUAACAAAAACAUGUCUUUUUGAUUUUUAUAAAAAGUCUGAUCUGCUCAAUGAAAAUUUUAAAUAGCCGCGGUAUUCUGACUGUGCAAAGGUAGCAUAAUAAUUUGUUCAUUAAUUGUGGACUAGAAUGAAAGAUUUGACGAGGUUAAUUCUGUCUUUUAAUUAUUAAUUAUUGAAUUUAAUUUUUAAGUUAAAAAGCUUAAAUUUUAUUAAAGGACGAGAAGACCCUAUAGAGUUUUAUAAUAUAUUUAUAUUUGUAUAUUAAUAUUUUUAUAUAAAUAUUUAUAAUUAUUUUAUUGGGGUGAUAACUAAAUUUAAUUAACUUUAUAUAAUAUUAAUUACACAUUUAUUUAUGAUUUUAUGAUCCUAAAUUUUAGAUUAUUAGAUUAAAUUACCUUAGGGAUAACAGCGUUAUUUUUUUUUAAGUUCUUAUUAACAUUAAAAAUUGCGACCUCGAUGUUGGAUUAAAAUUAAUUUUAGGUGUAGAAGCUUAAUAUUUAAGUCUGUUCGACUUUUAAAAUUUUACAUGAUCUGAGUUCAAACCGGUUUAAGCCAGGUUGGUUUCUAUCCUUAAUUUAUAUUAAAUUUUUAGUACGAGAGGACCAAAGUUUAAAAUUAUUUUUAAUUUUUUGUAUUGAAUAUUAUUAAAUUAUA